GACGAACGCUGGCGGCGUGCUUAACACAUGCAAGUCGAGCGGUAAGGCCCUUUCGGGGGUACGACGAGCGGCGAACGGGUGAGUAACACGUGGGUGACCUGCCCUCAGCUCUGGGAUAAGCCUGGGAAACCGGGUCUAAUACUGGAUAUGACUCCAUGACGCAUGUUGGUGGGGUGGAAAGCCUUGUGCGGCUGAGGAUGGGCCCGCGGCCUAUCAGCUUGUUGGUGGGGUGANGGCCUACCAAGGCGACGACGGGUAGCCGGCCUGAGAGGGCGACCGGCACACUGGGACUGAGACACGGCCCAGACUCCUACGGGAGGCAGCAGUGGGGGAAUCUUGCGCAAUGGGCGAAAGCCUGACGCAGCGACGCCGCGUGAGGGAUGAC
rnacentral:rRNA from 1 species